rnacentral:lncRNA from 1 species
CUUCAAGAUAAUUAAACUUAUUUUAAGUAUUUGCUGGCUGUGAAGCCUAUUCACUGCUGUUGACUGUCAUCAGCACGGCUUUGUAAACUUUUAAUUUUUAAACUGUGCCUCUGGGUCUCAGCAUUGAGAGUGUGUGUGAAAAUUAAAAUACACACAAGUGAGCACACUAUACCCCUGCCAAAAACACAUUUUAAUCUGAUUUAACCAAUUAAACAAACAGGAGUGAAUUAUGCCAUUAGGCUCAACAAGGCUGCCAGAGCAAACCGACUGUGUGGUGCAGACCAGGCAUGGGAGUCAUAAAGUGCACGCUUCUAGUGGAAAGGAGAUGCUUCUAGUGGAAAGGAGAUGCUCGAGUGGAAAGGAGAUGUUCGAGUGGGAACUGUUUCACGGCAAAUUGAUGUUUACUCACAAUGAAAAGGAAAAACAGGGAAGAUAAAAGCACAGCUAAAAUACAGCCCUGAUGAGCUGCCACCAUUGCAAUCACCAUGAAGCUGCAGUUCAGGGCUGUUAGAGAGACCAAGAAGACUGAAAAUGGUUAGUGGUGAAUGAGUAGCUGCUAAUUUGAUAAUCACCGUGAAUCCGAGUGAAACAGAUUUGUUCGCCUCACUGUCUACAAUUUACUUUUAUUUGUGAUUGAAUUGUAAUUUCCAUUUAAAAUCAUUAUAAGGAAACAAUACGUUCCCAUCACGCUCACUUAAGUGCCAUCCUGGAGUUUUUAGUUUUGCUUUAACAUUAAAUCUGGUCAUGCUGUCUUUCAUCCCCACCAUCACGGCUUUCCCUUAAGUAGAUGCUGUUCUUUUCCUUGUUGUGUUUAUCGCAUGGGGGCAAACCAUACAUGCCUGGAGAAACAAUGAUCAUGUUUCACUUCCAGGGUAAGUACAGAUUGGUUACAUUGGAAAUUUUCUCUCAAGUGCGUUAAAGAACUCUUCCAUAAUUUUGGGAGCAAAAUCUUUCAUGGGUGUGAUUUAAAAAAUAGAUUUAUUAAAAAAAUAGAUUAGGUUGUCAUAUCCAUAAAGUUUAAAUCCAUGAUAAAUACAGCUACGUUAAAUAGAUAGUAUUAUAUACCCAGAUUUAUUAUUUUAACUACCACCUGGAAAAUAAAAUGACAUACUAUGAUUAAUCA